AACAGAGAUCAGGAUGCAUUUUAUUUCAAUCAGGAGAGGCUAGUUUAUAAGUUUUAAAAGGCUGAAAAUUUUCAUGGCCUAAAAUAAGCAGGGAAAUCUGCCUCAGACAUAGCAAUAUUCUCAAGCAACUGAAACUGGGAUUCAGAGAAAAAGUUUGCAAGAGAAAAAUUUUAAUGCUCUUUCAUCUGAUUGUUUUAUGAAGGUUGGAGAACCUGAAAAUGCUUCUGAUGCAGGGCUAUGAGUAGCCAUGCAAGAUCAUCUGUGCAAAGUCAUGUGUACUUUCAAUCGAAUCAAGGUGAAGGAGAAACCACUUUGGGCUGCUGAUGUCUAAGGAUAAGCCUCUCCAAGAUGUUCAGAACAGGCCUUUCCAAGACUCGUUACUUAAGCAAGUAGUUCAUUUCCAACUGAGGUCAAUGAAGGACCUGCAGGCUUGCCAGAAACUUUUACCACCGAGAAGAAUAAAAAUUGCAUAUUAUCCAGAAUUAGGAUUCUUACCAGAAGUAAACUUUUUAUUAGAGAAAUCAAUUUAUAUGGCACAACAAGCAUCUAAUUACAGAGGAUCUGGUUUUCUCAUGAGUCACCUGCUUUUUGUCAUGUGAGUUCCCCUCCUCUCUUCUUAAAGCCCGCAUCCCUUCUACCACAUUCUUUAGCUCAGAAUACAUACCCCU